rnacentral:rRNA from 1 species
ACAUGCAAGUCGAACGAAGUCGUUAUACUGAAUUUGAAGAUGAACUGUGAACUUGUUCAGAGGGACUUAGAAGAUGAUUUAUAACAAUGGCUUUAGUGGCGGACUGGUGAGUAACGCGUAAGUAACCUGCCUAUCAGAGGGGAAUAACAGUGAGAAAUCAUUGCUAAUACCGCAUAUGCUCACGGUAUCACAUGAUACAGUGAGGAAAGGAGUAAUCCGCUGAUAGAUGGACUUGCGUCUGAUUAGCUAGUUGGUGGGGUAAAGGCCUACCAAGGCGACGAUCAGUAGCCGGACUGAGAGGUUAAACGGCCACAUUGGGACUGAGAUACGGCCCAGACUCCUACGGGAGGCAGCAGUCGGGAAUAUUGCGCAAUGGAGGGAACUCUGACGCAGUGACGCCGCGUAUAGGACGAAGGUUUUCGGAUUGUAAACUAUUGUCGUUAGGGAAGAUACAAGACAGUACCUAAGGAGGAAGCCCCGGCUAACUAUGUGCC